UUACAUUAAGAUACAUGUAUUUUAGUUAAGUUCUUUUUUUUUCUUUUUCCAGAAAACCCUGAAGCAUUACUGAAUGCUGUGUUUUUAAAUAAUGCAACAUACUUUGGUCUACGAGGUCGACAAGACCAUGUUAACAUGACAUGGGGAGAUGUCAAGUUAAAAGCUACAUCUGAUGGAAAGGAGUAUUUGGAAUUUAAUGAAAGAAGCACCAAAACCCGUAGUGGAGCAAAAAGCAGGGAUUUCCGGGAUAUUACUCCAAAGAUUUUCGGGGAAGGAGGAAGUAAUUGCCCUAUUCAUGUUUACAAGGAAUACAAACGGCAUAGACCUCAAAACACAUUAACUGAUGAACAUAGAUUUUAUUUGAGGCCUUUAGAUAAUAAACAUGAGGAAAUAUGAUAUUCUCGCCAAACCAUAGGCAAAGAUAAAUUAGGUAAAAUGGUAAAAAAUAUGGCAGAAAAAAGGAGAUCUUAAAGGAAGAAAGGUUAAUCAUUCGGGACGUAAAACUUUUGCUACCACACUUCUUCAAAAUGGUAGACCUGCCAAUGAAGUUGCUCAAUUAGGAGGCUGGAAAGGCAUUAGUACCUUAACUCAUUAUUCAGUACCGUCUAUUGAACAACAGCAACAAGCUUCUCACACAAUAUCUAAGGUCAUGUUGCCGAACUCAGAUUUACAGACGACAUCAGAUUCAGAAGAACCAUGUGAACUGUCAAACUCAAGUACAUUAGUUCAUAAUAAUCUAAAUGCAAAUGUAUCAAAUACAAAUAAUCAAACUGCUAACAAACAUGUCAACCCCAUGUCAAUGUUUGCAGGUGCAACUAUAACAGGUGGUGUUUUCAAUAUUAAUAUAUACUCAGGGGAAAGAAAGAAUACUAUAAACUGCAGCCAAGAGCUUUAAUCUGAAAAACUAGAUAAAAACAUGUUUUUACUUGUUGUGUUUAUUUACUGUUGAUUAUUCAGUAAAAUUGUUACUAUUUUAUUGUUUUGAUUAAAAUCCUAAAUUUUCA